rnacentral:rRNA from 1 species
CUACGGGCGGCUGCAGCAGGGGAUAUUGCGCAAUGGGCGGAAGCCUGACGCAGCAACGCCGCGUGGGGGAAGAAGGCCUUCGGGUCGUAAACCCCUUUUCUCGGGGAAGAAGGAAGUGACGGUACCCGAGGAAUAAGUCUCGGCUAACUACGUGCCAGCAGCCGCGGUAAGACGUAGGAGGCGAGCGUUAUCCGGAAUUACUGGGCGUAAAGGGCGAGUAGGCGGCCCGUUAAGUCUAUGGUGAAAUCUCCCGGCGCAACUGGGAGGGAGUCAGAGAAACUGGGGGGCUUGAGGGCAGCAGAGGGAGGUGGAAUUCCCGGUGUAGUGGUGAAAUGCGUAGAUACCGGGAGGAACACCAGUGGCGAAGGCGGCCUCCUGGGCUGCACCUGACGCUGAGGCGCGAAAGCGUGGGGAGCAAACAGGAUUAGAUACCCCCGUAGUC